rnacentral:rRNA from 1 species
UAGGGAAUCUUCGGCAAUGGGGGGAACCCUGACCGAGCAACGCCGCGUGAGUGAAGAAGGUUUUCGGAUCGUAAAGCUCUGUUGUUAAGGAAGAACGAGUGUGAGAAUGGAAAGUUCAUGCUGUGACGGUACUUAACCAGAAAGGGACGGCUAACUACGUGCCAGCAGCCGCGGUAAUACGUAGGUCCCGAGCGUCGUCCGGAUUUAUUGGGCGUAAAGCGAGCGCAGGCGGUUAGAAAAGUCUGAAGUGAAAGGCAGUGGCUCAACCAUUGUAGGCUUUGGAAACUGUGUAACUUGAGUGCAGAAUGGGCGAGUGGAAUUCCAUGUGUAGCGGUGAAAUGCGUAGAUAUAUGGAGGAACACCGGUGGCGAAAGCGGCUCUCUGUUCUGUAACUGACGCUGAGGCUCGAAAGCGUGGGGAGCGAACAGG